rnacentral:rRNA from 1 species
AUGUGGUUUAAUUUGAAGCAACGCGAAGAACCUUACCAAAUCUUGACAUCCUCCUGACAACUCUAGAGAUAGAGCCUUCCCCUUCGGGGGAGCAAAGUGACAGGUGGUGCAUGGUUGUCGUCAGCUCGUGUCGUGAGAUGUUGGGUUAAGUCCCGCAACGAGCGCAACCCUUAAGCUUAGUUGCCAUCAUUAAGUUGGGCACUCUAAGUUGACUGCCGGUGACAAACCGGAGGAAGGUGGGGAUGACGUCAAAUCAUCAUGCCCCUUAUGAUUUGGGCUACACACGUGCUACAAUGGACAAUACAAAGGGCAGCGAAACCGCGAGGUCAAGCAAAUCCCAUAAAGUUGUUCUCAGUUCGGAUUGUAGUCUGCAACUCGCCUACAUGAAGCUGGAAUCGCUAGUAAUCGUAGAUCAGCAUGCUACGGUGAAUACGUUCCCGGGCCUUGUACACACCGCCCGUCACACCACGAGAGUUUGUAACACCCGAAG